rnacentral:snoRNA from 1 species
AACUAGCCUGGGCUCAUCAAAAGAAAAAAAAAUCUACUGGUGGCAGACUAUGGAUUCGCAAGAGAAGAAGAGAGAAUUCACAGAACUAGCUCUUAGCUUCUGUUUUUACAGAGGUAUAUUUUGGCUAUCGUGUGAGACAUUC